CCGCGGGAUUAGAGUUUGAUCCUGGCUCAGAAUCAACGCUGGCGGCGUGCCUAACACAUGCAAGUCGAACGCGAAAGUCCCGCAAGGGAUUAGUAGAGUGGCAAACGGGUGAGUAACACGUGGGUGACCUGCCUUCGAGCGGGGGAUAACGUCCCGAAAGGGACGCUAAUACCGCAUAACAUCCUGCCUUUUAAGAGGUGGAGAUCAAAGCCGGGGACCGCAAGGCCUGGCACUUGAAGAGGGGCCCGCGUCUGAUUAGCUAGUUGGUGGGGUAAUGGCCUACCAAGGCAACGAUCAGUAUCCGGCCUGAGAGGGCGGACGGACACACUGGGACUGAGACACGGCCCAGACUCCUACGGGAGGCAGCAGUGGGGAAUUGUUCGCAAUGGGCGCAAGCCUGACGACGCAACGCCGCGUGGAGGAUGAAGACCUUCGGGUCGUAAACUCCUUUCGAUCGAGACGAAUGUUUUUCGGGUGAACAAUCCGGAAAAGUGACGGUACCGAGAGAAGAAGCCCCGGCUAACUCUGUGCCAGCAGCCGCGGUAAUACAGGGGGGGCAAGCGUUGUUCGGAAUUACUGGGCGUAAAGGGCUCGUAGGUGGCCAACUAAGUCAGACGUGAAAUCCCUCAGCUUAACUGGGGAACUGCGUCUGAUACUGGAUGGCUUGAGAUUGGGAGAGGGAUGCGGAAUUCCAGGUGUAGCGGUGAAAUGCGUAGAUAUCUGGAGGAACACCGGUGGCGAAGGCGGCAUCCUGGACCAACACUGACACUG
rnacentral:rRNA from 1 species